rnacentral:rRNA from 1 species
UACGUAGGGCGCAAGCGUUGUCCGGAAUUAUUGGGCGUAAAGAGCUCGUAGGCGGCCUGUUACGUCUGCUGUGAAAUCCCGGGGCUUAACCCCGGGCGUGCAGUGGAUACGGGCAGGCUGGAGGCAGGCAGGGGAGAACGGAAUUCCCGGUGUAGCGGUAGAAAUGCGCAGAUAUCGGGAGGAACACCGGUGGCGAAGGCGGUUCUCUGGGCCUGUACUGACGCUGAGGAGCGAAAGCGUGGGGAGCGAACAGGAU